UUCCUGGUGGCUCUGAUGGUAAAGAAUCUGCCUGCAAAGCAGGAGACCCAGGUUCAAUCUCUGGGUCAGGGAA
rfam:TPA: Bos taurus chromosome 2, whole genome shotgun sequence.